UGGGGGAAUAUUGGGCAAUGGACGCAAGUCUGACCCAGCAACGCCGCGUGAAGGAAGAAGGCUUUUCGGGUUGUAACUUCUUUUAAGAGGGAAGAGCAGAAGACGGUACCUCUUGAAUAAGCCACGGCUAACUACGUGCCAGCAGCCGCGGUAAUACGUAGGUGGCAAGCGUUGUCCGGAUUUACUGGGUGUAAAGGGCGUGCAGCCGGGUCUGCAAGUCAGAUGUGAAAUCCGUGGGCUUAACCCACGAACUGCAUUUGAAACUGUAGAUCUUGAGUAUCGGAGAGGUAAUCGGAAUUCCUUGUGUAGCGGUGAAAUGCGUAGAUAUAAGGAAGAACACCAGUGGCGAAGGCGGAUUACUGGACGACAACUGACGGUGAGGCGCGAAAGCGUGGGGAGCAAACA
rnacentral:rRNA from 1 species